UAUAUACUACCUGUAGGUACACAUCUUUUCACAUGGAAAAUUAAAAACACCAAUCUGUGUUCAGUGUGUGGGGUACCAGAUACUUAUCAACACAAUUUCAUGGAAUGUACUUAUUUUAAAGUUUUUUGGAAUAAAAUUUGUAUUUUAUUAAAUAAGCUUCAUAUUGGUGAGCAUAUAGUUACUUUAAAACACUUAGUAGUAGGAUAUAAAAUAGAAGAGGACUCAUUAAAUGAUAUUAAUUAUCUCUUGACAGUCAUCCUAUUCACUCUACACAAAUGCAAUUGUAUUUCAAAUAAUAAAAUAAAUCAAGUUAAUGUUUAUGAAAUAUUUAAACAAGAAUUUAAAUACAGAUAUUAUCUGAUGGAGUAUAG
rnacentral:lncRNA from 1 species